CCUUGCAUGGUGUUUCCGUAUUUGUCGGUGGAGACAUGGCCAGUGUCCAGCCUGGAAAGCAGUGAGAGGUGGAACUUUGCACAGAAGUUAGAUCUGGACCCAGGACCAGAAGAGAACGAGGAGCUACUACUCAAGUUCCAGAGUCAGUGGCGAGAGUUUGGAGAUAUGGAAAUGAAAGAAAGAAUGACAGAUGAUGGUGGGACCCUGUACGCAGCCUUGAGACCCUCUGCAAGGCAAUGAGAUAGCUCAGACAGCCACAGAACACUGCAGAAGAUGUGAGACCUGAAGACUGUGAUGAGAUCCACAGAUAACUCUGGAACUCUCAAUACAGCUGUGGGACCAGUAGAUAGUCUUGAGAUACUUCAGAUGACCGUGGAACCAACCAACCAACAACCC
rnacentral:lncRNA from 1 species